rnacentral:rRNA from 1 species
UACGUAGGGUGCAAGCGUUGUCCGGAAUUAUUGGGCGUAAAGAGCUCGUAGGCGGCUUGUCGCGUCGAAUGUGAAAUCCCGGGGCUCAACCCCGGGCCUGCAUUCGAUACGGGCAGACUAGAGUUCGGUAGGGGAGUCUGGAAUUCCUGGUGUAGCGGUGAAAUGCGCAGAUAUCAGGAGGAACACCGGUGGCGAAGGCGGGUCUCUGGGCCGAUACUGACGCUGAGGAGCGAAAGCGUGGGGAGCGAACAGG